rnacentral:lncRNA from 1 species
CGACAACCAACGUAGUGCGAGCAGCAUGCAGCAAAGCAAUGGCCGGGCGACACUGUGACAAGCAGGGGCAAGGACAGGGCGCGGCACGGCAGGAAAGGGGGCCCGUAAGUACACGCCAACACGCAAACAAGGGGGCUGAAGUACACGCCAACAACAAGACCGGAGGUGAGGAUGUGAAGCUGAUAAUAGAUUAAUAGGAAUGCGUGGCUGAAUGUUCGGUGGGGAUAGCCUAUGCGCGCGUCCUAGUCAGAGGUUUCGCGUAGGGUUUGCUGAGAGUUAGCGGCUGCACUGAUUAGGAAUUGUAGUGACCGGAAGAGGAGCACGGAAGGAAAGCUGGUCGCAUUCCUCACGCUCCGGGCGCUAAUGUAGACGGCAAGGUGACAUCGGCCUACUCUCCAACAGCCUGCUGUCUUUGGUGCGCUGGGGUGCCCAAGAUGCCCACGCCUGCCCACGCUGACGCAUACCCCUUCCCACUAGUCCGACUGGAGUAGCCUGUGUCCGCUUUCAUCUGCCCUGAAGCUUGGAAUCCACCAGCUGAAAUGAUUGCACGCCGUAGCGCCUAGUUGAUUGCUGUGCCUCUGCAUCCCUCGGCUGCGCCGAGCUCCGCUUGUUCUGCUUGCCCCAAUGCGGGUUGAAAUAGGAGCAUGAGCCGCAUUUCGCUUGGUGACCUGAAUUGUUCACGUCUGUGCGGUUGAGCCGCUGGAGCAAAGCUGUAUCCGGGGCAUGUGUGUGUUGAGGCCGUCACGUUACAGAGCCCUCCACGGAUGCGACACGCCCCCACGGUACUAGCCCGCAUACGAGCCUGCUCGACUUCCGCGGAAUCUCGCGGAAUCUCGCGACCUGAAGCAUGAGCACGGUGUACCACACCCGCGCUUGACGCCUUGCGCCUGUUCCUCUUGAUGUCCAUCCUUGCACCCCUCAGGUCCUUCAUGCGCCCAACAAUCUGACUCGCUGUAGCCGGCUCGAGCAUGACGCGCAUGCUGUCAGUGCACUGCCAGAAGCGCUACACCAGAACGAGUGCC